rnacentral:rRNA from 1 species
UACGAAGGGGGCUAGCGUUGCUCGGAAUCACUGGGCUUAAAGGGUGCGUAGGCUGGUUGCCAAGUCUGUGGUGAAAUCCUCCGGCUUAACCGGAGAACUGCCGUGGAUACUGGCGACCUCGAGUGGGGUAGGGGCUUGCGGAACUGUGCGUGGAGCGGUGAAAUGCGUUGAUAUGCACAGGAACUCCGGUGGCGAAGGCGGCGAGCUGGACCCUAACUGACGCUGAGGCACGAAAGCCAGGGGAGCGAACAGG